rnacentral:siRNA from 1 species
AGUGAUUCAGUUGCCGUAGACCA